rnacentral:tRNA from 1 species
GAAAUAUUUUACAAUUAAGCUGCUAACUUAAUUAAUAGUGAUUUAAACCAUUAAUAUUUCU